rnacentral:lncRNA from 1 species
GAGAGAAGGAGCCUGGCCUAGGACUGUGCCUCCGAGAGGGCCAAUGCGUAGACAGUGGCCGAGAGGGAGUGAUGUCCAAGGAGGCCCAAGGCACAAAGCAGAAACCAGAUUUCAAGGGAGAAGGGAGGAGAGGAAGAGGCUGACCCACAGGGGGCCCAUCAUCGUGGACCCAGAAUGACUCCCCUCCUGCUCCCUCCCUGGCUGGGCUGUCCAGCUCGAACAGGUCCUGUGUGGGUCUCCCCUUCCCGAAGGUGGGGCCGACAGGAUGUGAGAGGAAGUCCCAGAACAGCUCCUGAAAGGGACCGGUCCAGCUGGCAGGCACCAACUUGCCCUUCCUCUUUCCCCCUCCUCCUGCUGGAAGGAGGAAGUGGCAGCUGGAGUCAUCCUGGGAGCAUGAGGUCACUUCAGGGACAGAGAUCAUGCCCCUUCGAUGAACAAGGAGGCCUCCUGCUGCAGGCCCACCAGCCCUGCCUCCCGGCCUGUAGACUGCUCGUGAGGGGCGAUUUAAUGAGAGAAAACUCGAUGCAUCUUGGGUUCAUUUAACCGUGGAGCCAACAAGGACAGCAGACCUACUUCCCUGAUCCCCCACAUCAAGCAUAAAGGGACCACGCUGGGGACCAGCUGUAGCUCACCCCAUCAUGACCCUGAGGCUAUGACAGCAUAUAAGUUCCCAGGAAAAGGGGGACCUCAAAGAGAGACUAUUUGGAAUUAUAGAAAAUAAAGGCACCCGCAUGUUUUU